rnacentral:tRNA from 1 species
UAGGCUGUGGCUCAGUGGUAGAGCACUUGCCUCGAAUACAUGAGAUGUUGGGUUCGAUUCUCAGCACCGCAA